AAACAGAGCCACAAACCAUUCAGUUUCAACAACAUAGCAUUAGUUGUAGCCCAGACAACAGAUACAUGCCUGAAGCUUUUUCAGCACACCAAGCUUCUACAUAUACUCCUAAGCAUCUGACUAAAAGUAUCCCUUGCACACCAUGCCAUUGCAAUAAGACAAUUAUACAGUUGAAUGCUCAUCAAAAGAGAUCGACCCUGUAACUGUGAUCCAUCUUGAUCAAACUUAAACGAAUCCUUUUAUAUCUAAUUUCAUGUACCCAAAGCUGUGAGGAAAAGCACUAAUAGUGCACAAAUAAAUAGACACCCUGAGAUGUUCCACAUAGGAAAGGUGUAUAAAAACAACAAAAUAUUAACCAACUGCACAUAAUUGAAUCUAACUGAUCAUCAUCUCUGGUAUAUGCCCC
rnacentral:lncRNA from 1 species